GAGAGAGGAGGGACGGCUGCCGCUCUUUUAGAGUGAGGAAAGUCCCCCCACCGCCUGGACACACAAAUGCCUGUAAAGGGCAUACGGCGAGAGUCGUGGCAAUGUCACAGCAACGGAACGGCCGCGGGCCUGUGCGAUGAUCUGGAGACAGUGAGGUCGCCCGCAGCGCCGAUGAAACGGUCAAUCCUUGUGGGUGCAAGCUAAGAGGGAUUACCAGGGAGUCCAGCCCUGUCCCCGGUUACAGCGCGUAGAUGAAUGCCGUCGGCCUUAGGGCCAUGAACAGAAGGGGGCUUACUAUCCUCACUC
rnacentral:RNase_P_RNA from 2 species